CUGACAUGUUGUCCACCCAAUAAGAAUGAAUCUAUCACUGAAAACAUAAGCUACAGCUAGCUAGCACUGCAGUGCAUAAAAUAUGAUGAGUAGUUGACUCAAAGAGAGAGAAAGACAAUAAUUGAUUUCUUCCAAAAUGAAGGAGAAGUAGGAGAGAGAGAGAUUGCAAUAUCUUUUUUUUUUUGAGGGGGGGGGGUUCACUUUCACUUAGCUACUUAGCUAGCAAAAGGCAAAAGCAGCUAGCUAGCUAGUUUAACCUACUCAAACACCCGGCUCAAACAGAGGGAUGCUAUGUUAGCUAGCUGAUUAUGACUAUCCAACACAACACUGGAACUCUUCCAAGUCAAGCUCUCCCUCGCUCUGUGUUGACAGGAAGUUUAACUCAGGCUGAGCUGAUGGAUGGUCUCUAUUUAGGCUGUGAGGAGGUCAAGCCCACAGAGGAAGCAAUCAACCAGGACUCAGAACAGGAGGAACCUCCACAGCUGCACUGGAAGUAAUAAACUGACCAGGGUGGGCCCCUGUUGGGAGAAUCCGUUUUUGCAGGGUCAAAGGGUUUGGUCAGAUUGGUCGUCCAAUGACCCCAUGGUGAACUUUAUGAGUAGGAACCUUGAAGCCGAGGAGCUGGGUAGUUGAAUUUUGGAGGAGGCUGAGCUGACUGGCAGUUAGCUUGAAACCCUCAUCAGGGAAUGAAUAGUCUGAAACCUGCCUAUGGUAGAUAUCUAGCUGUACUGCUCGAGAAACGUAUAAGCAGAUAUUUUUGUGUUUUUUUAAGCCUGGCUCUAAGACUCUCUGAGCUAAAUAAAUAGGAGAAUGAUUUGAAUCUGGCUUCCCUCUCAAUUCCACUUCAAACUUUAGUCUUAGUCACCAUGAGCCCCUAUACCCAUGAGAGUUGUAUAUGUAUGAAUUAUUUACAGCUUCAUGGCGGAGCGCUGCUGCUCCGUGCACAGAGUGAAAGUCAAUUUCAUUUUCUUCUUUUCAUUUCCUCGCAUCCCUCCAGCAUUUUCUAAAGUGGAAGAAGACAGAUUCUCAAUUUCAUUUGGAUUCUCUAACUUCCGUACCUUCAGAAAAGAGCAGAGAACUGUGCCAGAACUGAGUCAUGAAGAUGACAGAUUUAUAUUUCCAUUUCCCCCACCAUGUCUAUCGACAUCUGAAGUUUAAGUUAUUUUGCAGCUUUUUAGUUGGGUUAAGUCAUGAACUUAAAGAUGGAAUCCACAUAAGGGGGGAAACACCGAAACUGGCCGCCUCACCACCGUUGCUUUUGUUUUUGUUGCCGAGCUGAGGAGCGUCAUGCAACAUGGCAAAGAAACAUUACAGUACAUAUUGUGCUCUUCAAUCAUGCAUGCAAUGAUGCCCGAGGGAAACAAAUGUAACUCUUUAUUUCGAAAGUCCAUCUGUAGAUCCGCUACAGAAUAUCUACAGACUAUCAGUAACAUUUCAACUAACUAUCUGUUAACCCUAACCCUAGCUCGAACCCUAACCUUAACCCUUAUCCUAACCCUAAACUUAACCCUUACACUAUCCCUAACCCUAGUCCUAACCUUAACCCUUCCUUAUCCUAACCCUUAUUCUAAACCUAACCCCAACCUUAUCCAAUUAAAGUGUGACCAAAAA
rnacentral:lncRNA from 1 species